AGUUGCUGCUCCUAGCAAAUGCUUUUCUGGAGAGCUUGUAAAACAUUGCAUACAUCAAAUAAAUCUGCAGAAAUUACUAACCCAAAGGACAUGAAGUAGCUCCUUUUGGAGUCAACAUACACAGAUGCCAGUGGGAGAUAAGCAAAGGACUUUCAGAUAUUUUCUAGCUUCUGCAGAAAAGAAUCUAUGGAAAUCUGCUCUGUAACCAGACAGCUGAUUCAGCAAGAAAGAAGCAAUAAACAGUAGAAGUGUAAAACCGUGACUGACCUUAACUGAAACUACAGGACUGAAGGAAGAACCAUAUACCCUCUGUCCUUUCAGUGCCAGCAUAAUGAACCUUAAAACACGGAGAAGAACAAGGAGUGGCAAAUGGUAUAUUUUCCCCUGGGGAAUGACCUACCAAAUCAAGAGCAGAUGAUCACAUUCUACAACCAAGACUUCAAAAGGGAAACUAAAUUUUCUGUCCAUUUACUAUGAGAUAUGUCAUAACUAAUUCACAUGCUGUUUUUAUAGUAGUAGAAUAAUGUGCAAUAAAUUCAUAGAUUAAACACCACUCUAUUCCAGAAUAAUCAAUCAAAAAUGACAGCUGAUUGAUUUCUUUUUUUAAAUGAGAAUUUACUUAUUGUUUAAUUGAUUUUAAUGUUCUUCCAAAGGUGAUUUGAAAGUCAUAUGUUUAAAGAAAGCUUAUGUGCAAAGCUAGUGUGUUUUUUAACAUAAAUACAGAAACAUGACUGAUUUUGACUGCUAGUGCUCUUCCCUUCUUCCUAGAAUAAUGCAAGGAAAUCAACAAUUUCAAAUUCACAGCCAGCAAGAAUGCCAAUACAAUUAGAGGACUUGUCAAGAAGUUUCAGUUUUAAAAGUUUGAAAACAUUUUCCCAUUGACUACAAAUUCUUAACUUCAGUUGACAUAUUUCUUCUGAAUGAAGUAGUGAAUGUCUGCUAUACCAUGAAGAAAAAAUAGGUGAAAAUCUCCCUCGGGUCCUAUGGUUGUAGAACUCAGGUACUAUAACUAGCAAGAAACAGAUGGCUCCACAGCACAGAAGCAUUUUAAAAUAAACAUUAAUACAAGUUGGGAUAAAAUUCUUAUUAGGAAUGCAGUUUUAAUCAUGUUAACUGUUGUUGACAUUGGUACUUAAAACUGUUUCAUAGAUCCUAACGGAAAGAAAAAAAUCUAAUUAAUGCAAGAUAUGAUGAAUGUAUACCAUUAACUGUAUUAUUUACAGUAAAUAGUCAUCUCCUGAAAAAAUGACUAUUAUUUUGGUUUCAUAAAACAUAGUCUAUAAAUAUUUUUAAUUGCUUUCAUGAUAUUUUCAGUCUGCUUGUUACUAAUGUCUAGUCAUUUACUUGUUCUAAAAUAUGUUUGCUGAUUUAUAUGGCAUACUAACCUCAAGUAUCUUCUGUAAGGAAAGCUGUGAUUCUUUGGCUAUGUAAUCAUAAGUGUUUAAUCGACCAUUAAAAAAGGCAGCCAUUUCUUUAUAGUCAACUUGACUAGACACAGAAAACCAGAAUUUGUUUUUAUUAUAUUCUAAUAACUAUACUACAGUAAUGGAGUGUACUAUAAGGGAUGUCAUUGGAGCACCACCUAGAAGGUCAGCUUUGAAAUAAUCUUUCAGUCUGCUGUUUCUGCUGUUUCCUCUGGGGGAGCAGCUUUGUCAUGAAUUCAUAAACAGCACAAGAAAUUUACUAAUCAGCCUAUUUUCAUAGGCUAUGAAACAGAUUACAUUUUGGAGAACAGAUUUCUCAUCAGAUCUUUUUUUUUUCAUUCCAUAAGGAGUACAGAAAUAUCAUCUAACCUGUUCAUAUCCUUGAUAUGAUAUUUAAAUUCCCAAGUAUUAUUUUCAAACCUGUAUUUCAGUUUAGAUACAUCCAAUAGAACAAUGGCAAAUAAAGAAAAAAAAAAGUCCAAACUUACCUGUUUAAUAAAUAAAUAAAUUUAUUU